GUGUAGUCCGGCCCAGCAUGGGGGACUCUCGAUCCCCCGACCCGGGUUCAAAUCCCGG
rnacentral:tRNA from 1 species